GACAGAGGGUGCAAACGUUGUUCGGAAUUACUGGGCGUAAAGCGUGUGUAGGCGGCUUUGUAAGUCGGAUGUGAAAGCCCCGGGCUCAACCCGGGAAGUGUACUCGAUACUGCGAAGCUUGAGUACUGGAGAGGUUGGUGGAAUUCUCGGUGUAGAGGUGAAAUUCGUAGAUAUCGAGAGGAACACCGGUGGCGAAGGCGGCCAACUGGACAGAUACUGACGCUGAGACACGAAAGCGUGGGGAGCAAACAGG
rnacentral:rRNA from 1 species